UCGCUGCUACCGAUUGGAUGUUCUAGUGAGUUCUAUGGAUUAUUACCCUUGCGGGGUUCGCCUCUGCAUAGGUGGUGAAAAGUAGGUCAAACUUAAACAUCUAGAGGAAGCAA
rnacentral:rRNA from 1 species